AGUGAACGCUGGCGGUAGGCCUAACACAUGCAAGUCGAACGGCAGCACAGUAAGAGCUUGCUCUUACGGGUGGCGAGUGGCGGACGGGUGAGGAAUACAUCGGAAUCUACUUUUUCGGGGGGGAUAACGUAGGGAAACUUACGCUAAUACCGCAUACGACCUACGGGUGGAAGCAGGGGAUCUUCGGACCUUGCGCGAGUGAAUGAGCCGAUGUCGGAUUAGCUGGGUGGCGGGGUAAAGGCCCACCAAGGCGACGAUCCGUAGCUGGUGUGAGAGGAUGGUCAGCCACCCUGGAACUGAGACACGGUCCAGACUCCUACGGGAGGCAGCAGUGGGGAAUAUUGGACAAUGGGCGCAAGCCUGAUCCAGCCAUACCGCGUGGGUGAAGAAGGCCUUCGGGUUGUAAAGCCCUUUUGUUGGGAAAGAAAAGCAGCAGGUUAAUACCCCGCUGUUCUGACGGUACCCAAAGAAUAAGCACCGGCUAACUUCGUG
rnacentral:rRNA from 1 species